rnacentral:tRNA from 1 species
AGUUUUAUAUUCAAUUAUGAUUUUAAAUUGCAAAUUUAAAGGUAAAGAGUUUCUUUUAAAACUU